rnacentral:tRNA from 1 species
GCGGGGGUGCCCGAGCUGGUCAAAGGGGGCGGACUCAAGAUCCGCUGGCGUAGGCCUGCGUGGGUUCAAAGCCCACCCCCCGCA